GUCUGAUGGAGCAACGCCGCGUGAACGAUGAAGGCUUUCGGGUCGUAAAGUUCUGUUGUAAGGGAAGAACAAGUGCCGCAGGCAAUGGCGGCACCUUGACGGUACCUUGCGAGAAAGCCACCGGCUAACUACGUGCCAGCAGCCGCGGUAAUACGUAGGUGGCAAGCGUUGUCCGGAAUUAUUGGGCGUAAAGCGCGCGCAGGCGGCCUCUUAAGUCUGAUGUGAAAGCCCCCCGGCUCAACCGGGGAGGGCCAUUGGAAACUGGGAGGCUUGAGUAUAGGAGAGAAGAGUGGAAUUCCACGUGUAGCGGUGAAAUGCGUAGAGAUGUGGAGGAACACCAGUGGCGAAGGCGACUCUUUGGCCUAUAACUGACGCUGAGGCGCGAAAGCGUGGGGAGCAAACAGGAUUAGAUACCCUGGUAG
rnacentral:rRNA from 1 species